ensembl:ncRNA C33D12.10 ncRNA
UGAAAAAUGUAGCAUGAUAGUAAUUCUUGAAAAUUUUCUAAUUUGAAAGGCAUCAAAAUAUGUACUAUCGACUAUUUUUUCUAGGUUCACUUUAAAAUUUAAAAGUUCACAAACUUUAAUUUUAUUAU